UCGCCUGUUUAACAAAAACAUGUCUUUUUGAAUUUAAUUUAAAGUUUGACCUGCCCACUGAAUUAUAUUAAAUGGCCGCGGUAUAUUAACUGUGCAAAGGUAGCAUAAUCAUUAGUCUUUUAAUUGAAGGCUGGUAUGAAUGGUUGGACGAAACAUUAACUGUUUCAUUAAAAUUUAUUAUAGAAUUUUAUAUUUUAGUUAAAAAGCUAAAAUAAAUUUAAAAGACGAGAAGACCCUAUAAAUCUUUAUAUUUAUAUUUUUAUAAUUUUUUAGUAAUAUUUUAUAAUAAAAAUUUAUAUUAUUUUAUUGGGGUGAUAUUAAAAUUUAUUUAACUUUUAAUUAAUAAUUACAUUAAUUUAUGAAUUAUUGAUCCAUUAAUAAUGAUUAAAAAUUUAAGUUACUUUAGGGAUAACAGCGUAAUUUUUUUGAAGAGUUCAUAUUGAUAAAAAAGAUUGCGACCUCGAUGUUGGAUUAAGAUAUAGUUUUAGGUGUAGUUGCUUAAAUUUUAAGUCUGUUCGACUUUUAAAUUCUUACGUGAUCUGAGUUCAGACCGGA
rnacentral:rRNA from 1 species